rnacentral:tRNA from 1 species
GGUCCUGGGGUGUCACACGUGGGGUUGCAACCCCCAAAACGCAGAUAAUUCCUGCCGGGGCU